AUUCUUACCUGGCAGGGGAGACACCAUGAUCAGACAGGUGGCUUUCCCAGGACAAGGCUUAUUCCCUGGACUUCAGGUGUGUUGACGCCCAGAAUUUCCCCAAAUGUGGGAAACUUGACUGCAUAACUUGUGGUAGUGGGGGACUGAAUUUGCGCUCUGCCCUGCU
rnacentral:snRNA from 14 species